rnacentral:lncRNA from 1 species
CAGAAACUGCUGUAAUAGUUUUAUGUGCGUAGUAUUUCUAAUUUAACUUCAGUAUUCUUUCUGGUCUACAGUGACUAUUUAUUAUGGAAAUUAAUUUUUGUUCUUCAAACCAUAAGAAUUUUCAAGUAUUGUAUAAAGCAUGCUUCACAAAAUACUUGCAUUUAGAAUGACUCGUCGCUCUGGUCCGUCAUUUGUAUUGAGCCCGUUCGAAAUAGUUGUUUGUUACUUGAUGAUUUCGGGUUCCUUCGUUUUUAUUUCAUAUACAUUGUGUAGCUCGGGGUCUGAUUCACCCUUGUUUCCACUUAAUCAUGUACACUAUAUUGUUUAAGUUUGUGAAUGUCGACCGCCAAAAUUCCGCUUAAAACUAUUCUAUUUAAGCCAUGUUAUUUUUUCAGUAUAUAUAUAUCUUGAAAUUGUUAACUCUCUCAUAUUUUUUUUCUAAUCUGUAGACUUUACUUCUGGUUGAUCUUUCAAUAUCAUCUAGAGUUCAUUAUUUGUAUGUGUGGACAGGCUACGAAUUUGUGUUAUACCACCAUUGACCUCUGUUCUUGUUGUACCAUAGUCGAUUGAGCAAUGUUUAGGGUGACCAUUAAAACAAUAGCAGAGAUUUGGAAGAGGUUUACAGAAUAGAGAAUAAAAGAAAAAAGAGUUGCGCAAAAUUUGCCAAAAAAAACCAAUAUAGAACAGAGAAAAAUAAAAAUAAAGAAUAAAGAAUAACAGAGCGCUGAAAUGUAUAGAAAAAAGUAAAAAGGGCAAAUUAAAAAAAGAAUAAAAAAGGGUAUGAAAAAUCUAAGAAUAAAAACCGCAGAAAAAUUUACAAGUGAGCAUAAAAGCAACAAAGUAUAUACCUGAACAUGAUUUUGUGAAGGCAAUUUCUAUGUUUCUACUUCUACUUUUAAAAAUAACUAUCCUCUUUUCCUCAUGUCUAAAUUUAACUAGGUCUUCUGUCUAAAAAUAUUUUAUAUUCCCUGAAAACGUGUUUCAUUUUCAGAAAAUAAGGCUGUUCUAAAUGUGCUAGCUACUUUCAUUUUCGUGUUUUUGAUGAUAAAGCUUAUUUUUGUAACCUAAUAUUUAAAAUAAAACAGUGGUCAAGUUUUUGAUGUCUUCUUGUUUCAAUAAAAAAAUAACGGGAAACACAGAAUAAGAGUAAAACGAUACCCAUUCAUUUUUAACAGCACAUUUUAUCAAAUAGAACAAUCACAAAAAGACUAAGUCAAAAUGGCUGUCCAGUUACAUAAAUAUUAGGUGCAAUUUAUAAAAAGAAAAAAAGAAGUUACCACGGGUGUAUAAAAAACAAUGAAA